rnacentral:rRNA from 1 species
AGUGAACGCUGGCGGCGUGCUUAACACAUGCAAGUCGAACGGCAGCACGGGAGCUUGCUCCUGGUGGCGAGUGGCGGACGGGUGAGUAAUGCAUAGGAAUCUGCCCCAGUAGCGGGGGACAACUUGGGGAAACUCAAGCUAAUACCGCAUGCGCCCUACGGGGGAAAGCGGGGGACCUUCGGGCCUCGCACUAUUGGAUGAGCCUAUGUCAGAUUAGCUUGUUGGUGGGGUAACGGCCUACCAAGGCGACGAUCUGUAGCUGGUCUGAGAGGACCGAUCAGCCACACUGGGACUGAGACACGGCCCCAGACUCCUACGGGAGGCAGCAGUGGGGGAAUAUUGCACAAUGGGCGAAAGACCUGAUGCAGCAAUGCCGCGUGUGUGAAGAAGGG